UGGGGAAUUUUGGACAAUGGGCGAAAGCCUGAUCCAGCAAUGCCGCGUGUGUGAAGAAGGCCUUCGGGUUGUAAAGCACUUUUGUCCGGAAAGAAAUCCUUGGCUCUAAUACAGUCGGGGGAUGACGGUACCGGAAGAAUAAGCACCGGCUAACUACGUGCCAGCAGCCGCGGUAAUACGUAGGGUGCAAGCGUUAAUCGGAAUUACUGGGCGUAAAGCGUGCGCAGGCGGUUUGCUAAGACCGAUGUGAAAUCCCGGGCUCAACCUGGGAACUGCAUUGGUGACUGGCAGGCUAGAGUAUGGCAGAGGGGGGUAGAAUUCCACGUGUAGCAGUGAAAUGCGUAGAGAUGUGGAGGAAUACCGAUGGCGAAGGCAGCCCCCUGGGCCAAUACUGACGCUCAUGCACGAAAGCGUGGGGAGCAAACAGGAUUAGAUACCCUGGUAGUCCACGCCCUAAAACGAUGUCAACUAGUUGUUGGGGAUUCAUUUCCUAGUAACGCAGCUAACGCGUGAAGUUGACCGCCUGGGGAGUACGGUCGCAAGAUUAAAACUCAAAGGAAUUGACGGGGUCAUAGCUG
rnacentral:rRNA from 1 species